rnacentral:rRNA from 1 species
AAAAAGCGGAGGAAAAGAAACCAACAGGGAUUGCCUUAGUAGCGGCGAGUGAAGCGGCAAAAGCUCAAAUUUGAAAUCUGGCGCCUUCGGUGUCCGAGUUGUAAUUUGAAGAUUGUAACCUUGGGGUUGGCUCUUGUCUAUGUUUCUUGGAACAGGACGUCACAGAGGGUGAGAAUCCCGUGCGAUGAGAUGCCCAAUUCUAUGUAAGGUGCUUUCGAAGAGUCGAGUUGUUUGGGAAUGCAGCUCUAAGUGGGUGGUAAAUUCCAUCUAAAGCUAAAUAUUGGCGAGAGACCGAUAGCGAACAAGUACAGUGAUGGAAAGAUGAAAAGAACUUUGAAAAGAGAGUGAAAAAGUACGUGAAAUUGUUGAAAGGGAAGGGUUUGAGAUCAGACUCGAUAUUUUGUGAGCCUUGCCUUCGUGGCGGGGUGACCCGCAGCUUAUCGGGCCAGCAUCGGUUUGGGCGGUAGGAUAAUGGCGUAGGAAUGUGACUUUACUUCGGUGAAGUGUUAUAGCCUGCGUUGAUGCUGCCUGCCUAGACCGAGGACUGCGAUUUUAUCAAGGAUGCUGGCAUAAUGAUCCCAAACCGCCCGUCUUGAAACACGGGACCCAAA